AUUGAACGCUGGCGGCAUGCCUUACACAUGCAAGUCGAACGGCAGCACGGGUGCUUGCACCUGGUGGCGAGUGGCGAACGGGUGAGUAAUACAUCGGAACAUGUCCUGUAGUGGGGGAUAGCCCGGCGAAAGCCGGAUUAAUACCGCAUACGAUCUACGGAUGAAAGCGGGGGACCUUCGGGCCUCGCGCUAUAGGGUUGGCCGAUGGCUGAUUAGCUAGUUGGUGGGGUAAAGGCCUACCAAGGCGACGAUCAGUAGCUGGUCUGAGAGGACGACCAGCCACACUGGGACUGAGACACGGCCCAGACUCCUACGGGAGGCAGCAGUGGGGAAUUUUGGACAAUGGGCGAAAGCCUGAUCCAGCAAUGCCGCGUGUGUGAAGAAGGCCUUCGGGUUGUAAAGCACUUUUGUCCGGAAAGAAAUCCUUGGCUCUAAUACAGUCGGGGGAUGACGGUACCGGAAGAAUAAGCACCGGCUAACUACGUGCCAGCAGCCGCGGUAAUACGUAGGGUGCGAGCGUUAAUCGGAAUUACUGGGCGUAAAGCGUGCGCAGGCGGUUUGCUAAGACCGAUGUGAAAUCCCCGGGCUCAACCUGGGAACUGCAUUGGUGACUGGCAGGCUAGAGUAUGGCAGAGGGGGGUAGAAUUCCACGUGUAGCAGUGAAAUGCGUAGAGAUGUGGAGGAAUACCGAUGGCGAAAGGCAGCCCCCUGGGCCAAUACUGACGCUCAUGCACGAAAGCGUGGGGGAGCAAACAGGAUUAGAUACCCUGGUAGUCCACGCCCUAAACGAUGUCAACUAGUUGUUGGGGAUUCAUUUCCUUAGUAACGUAGCUAACGCGUGAAGUUGACCGCCUGGGGAGUACGGUCGCAAGAUUAAAACUCAAAGGAAUUGACGGGGACCCGCACAAGCGGUGGAUGAUGUGGAUUAAUUCGAUGCAACGCGAAAAACCUUACCUACCCUUGACAUGGUCGGAAUCCCGCUGAGAGGUGGGAGUGCUCGAAAGAGAACCGGCGCACAGGUGCUGCAUGGCUGUCGUCAGCUCGUGUCGUGAGAUGUUGGGUUAAGUCCCGCAACGAGCGCAACCCUUGUCCUUAGUUGCUACGCAAGAGCACUCUAAGGAGACUGCCGGUGACAAACCGGAGGAAGGUGGGGAUGACGUCAAGUCCUCAUGGCCCUUAUGGGUAGGGCUUCACACGUCAUACAAUGGUCGGAACAGAGGGUUGCCAACCCGCGAGGGGGAGCUAAUCCCAGAAAACCGAUCGUAGUCCGGAUUGCACUCUGCAACUCGAGUGCAUGAAGCUGGAAUCGCUAGUAAUCGCGGAUCAGCAUGCCGCGGUGAAUACGUUCCCGGGUCUUG
rnacentral:rRNA from 1 species